UACGUAGGGGGCAAGCGUUGUCCGGAUUUAUUGGGCGUAAAGAGCUCGUAGGCGGUUUGGUAAGUCAGGUGUGAAAUCUCCACGCUCAACGUGGAGGGGCCACCUGAUACUGCCAUGACUGGAGUCCGGUAGAGGAGUGUGGAAUUCCCGGUGUAGCGGUGAAAUGCGUAGAGAUCGGCAGGAACACCCAGGGAGAAAUCAGCCGCCUGGGCAAGUGCUGACGCUGAGGUGCGAAAGCGUGGGGAGCGAACCGG
rnacentral:rRNA from 1 species